GACGAACGCUGGCGGCGUGCUUAAUACAUGCAAGUCGAACGGAAAGGCCCUGCCUUUGUGGGGUGCUCGAGUGGCGAACGGGUGAGUAACACGUGAGUAACCUGCCCUUGACUUUGGGAUAACUUCAGGAAACUGGGGCUAAUACCGCAUAGGAGCUCCUGCUGCAUGGUGGGGGUUGGAAAGUUUCGGCGGCUGGGGAUGGACGCGCGGCUUAUCAGCUUGUUGGUGGGGUGGUGGUUUACCAAGGCUUUGACGGGUAGCCGGCCUGAGAGGGUGACCGGCCACAUUGGGACUGAGAUACGGCCAGGACGGCUACGGGAGGCAGCGGUGGAGAAUAUUGCACAAUGGGCGGAAGCCGGAUGCAGCAUCGCCGCGUGCUGGAGGACGGCUUUAGGGUUGGAACCCGUUUUCGCCUGUGACGAAGCGUGAGUGACGGUAAUGGAUAAAGAAGCACCGGCUAACUACGUG
rnacentral:rRNA from 1 species